AAAAAAAAUUUAGUGUUUCAAAGACUUGAAUAUGAAUUCUAGAGCAAACAUCAGUCUUUUGUCUCUGGUGGUAAUUUCAUUGCUGAUAUUGUUGCAAGCUGGAUAUAUAGUUGCAUUUCUUCGAAAAGGAGAAAGAGAACAAGAGAACUUGAGGAGGGGUGGAAUAUGACAGAAUAUGCAGAUAGACUGUUCGAGAAAUAUGAAGGCAUUUUCCGCAGAAUUCUGAAUAUACAUUAAAUUGUGCUGUAUCAAAUAUUAUUCGUUUUAUAUAAACUAGAUUUAAUAUAUGUAUAUACACUAUGUCCUAUAAAGCUUGAAUAAAACUGAAACAUAAUAAA